rnacentral:rRNA from 1 species
GACGAACGCUGGCGGCGUGCCUAAUACAUGCAAGUAGAACGCACAGUUUAUACCGUAGCUUGCUACACCAUAGACUGUGAGUUGCGAACGGGUGAGUAACGCGUAGGUAACCUGCCUGGUAGCGGGGGAUAACUAUUGGAAACGAUAGCUAAUACCGCAUAAUAUUAAUUAUUGCAUGAUAAUUAAUUGAAAGGUGCAAUUGCACCACUACCAGAUGGACCUGCGUUGUAUUAGCUAGUAGGUGAGGUAACGGCUCACCUAGGCGACGAUACAUAGCCGACCUGCGAGGGUGAUCGGCCACACUGGGACUGAGACACGGCCCAGACUCCUACGGGAGGCAGCAGUAGGGAAUCUUCGGCAAUGGACGAAAGUCUGACCGAGCAACGCCGCGGGAGUGAAGAAGGUUUUCGGAUCGUAAAGCUCUGUUGUAAGAGAAGAACGGGUGUGAGAGUGGAAAGUUCACACUGUGACGGUAUCUUACCAGAAAGGGACGGCUAACUACGUG